AUUAAAUUAUCAUAAUCAAUGUUUUAAAUUUAGAAUUUAAAAAAGGAGUAAUAAUCCAUUUAAUA
rnacentral:tRNA from 1 species